rnacentral:rRNA from 1 species
CCUACGGGAGGCAGCAGUAGGGAAUAUUGCUCAAUGGGGGAAACCCUGAAGCAGCAACGCCGCGUGGAGGAUGAAGGUUUUCGGAUUGUAAACUCCUUUUGUUAGAGAAGAUAAUGACGGUAUCUAACGAAUAAGCACCGGCUAACUCCGUGCCAGCAGCCGCGGUAAUACGGAAGGUGCACGCGUUACUCGGAAUCACUGGGGGUAAAGAGCGAGUAGGCGGGAUAGCAAGGUCGGUGUGAAAACCUAUGGCUUAAACAUAGAACUGCAGUUGAAACUGUUAUUCUAGAGUAUGGGAGAGGUAGGUGGAAUGCUUGGUGUAGGUGUAAAAUCCAUAGAGAUCA